rnacentral:lncRNA from 1 species
CACAGGACAUGCAACAGAAAGGGAAGUGAACCGUGAACCUAGCUGAUGCGUUCAAACACAACCAAAAACUAAUCCCAUCACUCGCACACAGUUAAAAAUGGAGCCAGUGGACGCUGAAAGUCUCGUUUCCAGAUUGGAGAGGAAUUUUUGGACCGUCUGGGGUGUUUUCAGUGAGGCUGUGAAUAGAUUCCUAAGGCCACAGGUUCCAAACAACAUCGGCAGCGAUCCGAACACUCCUGACAUUAGUCAUGCAGGGACCAAUGGCUCCAGUGAAGAGGACACCAUCAUAGAAAAGUGCCUUGAUCUGCCUAACUCAUCUGAGCUACUUAGUGGAGAAUCGGAGGAGAACAAACAACUCCUGAGCAGUUCAAACAAUAAAUAUGAGGAAGUCGAAAGCACAAAAGCAGAACCUUUGCACCAGAACAAACCGGAUUAUGAAGGGAUGCUCAUCACCAGAAAAACAAACAUCGAGAAACUCGAGACACCCAAAAAUGAUACAUACGAGCAUUUAAAGACUAAAUCACAGAGUCACAUUGAGGAUACAGUUUGUAUCAAGGUCCAGGGGAAUAAAUAUGACACUUAUACAGAAGAAACUAUGAGUCCUGUUAAUGCAGAAAUAUUUAAAGAGACAGACCAAGAACAGGAUCCGCUGCAACAUACAGAAAGACAGAAUUUCAGUGAUAAUGAGUCUGGGAUAAAACUGAUCCAAGAAUUAGGUUUGGGAAAAAAGAGUGACAUGAUCAACAUGGGAAAUUCAGGGGAGGAACCUGACGGUGCAACUGUGAUGCAAGAUGGAGCCAAAAACAAGGACGGGGUUGGACAGACGACCUCUGAGGAUGCAAAGGAGUCAGAACACAGAAGAAAACUGGUGGAGUAUGCACAGAGUGAGGAUGAGAUGAUCAUUAAUUUUCAAACCAACACAACAGACACAACUGAAAUACUACCAGAAGAUGAUUUUAGCAGUGAAGACGACAACUUGGACAGUUUGGUAGACAUGUUGCUCGAAAGCGCAGGCAGACAGGAAGUUCAGAGAAAUUUGGAGAAAACUCCCAAGGGUUUAAGUGAAGAACGGGGUGUAGCAUUGAAGGAGCAAAACAUUCCCGCGUGUGAGGAAACACAAGAGGGAGUUCCUGUAAACAACAAUGAACUCAGCCUGGAUGAAAAUACAACUCAGCUUUUCCUGGAAGGAGAUUCCAAGGAAGCUGAGGCUGCUCGAUUACCAGAAGAGGUGGAGAGUAACUACCAUCAGGAGAGGCUACAAAACACAGACCAGGACCAUUUACCGCUGUGCAAGGCUGUGGAGGAGAACCAAGACUACACAGAGGACAAGGGAAAUGUUGGGGAUUCGUUGAGCUACACUAAAAUACAGCCAGUACAUGCAAGUUUUCAAGCUGUGAUUCAAGAUCCUGGAUUAUUCAAUCAGGAAGAGGAGAAAGAAUCAUUAGAGAGCUCAAUGAAGAAGGAGAUCAGAUGCUACAGCAGUGAUUUGGGGGUUGUGGUUGCCUUAAAAAACAAGAUCAUUGAUACGCCAGAGCUGCAAGACGCAAUGGAUGAAGCAGAGCCAAACAUAGAACCUUUAAACGCCCCAAAUGAUGAAAAUGGUGCAACAAGUGAAAUUACCGGUAAAUCUGCAGAGGAAUUUUGUGAACGUGUUGAUAAACUGUUGAAAUUUGGUGAAGAAAACAUGACAGAAACAUACUUUUUAGAGGAAUUUGUAGGGAACGACAAAAACCAAAAUACUUUCAAGCCAGAAUCUGAAAUUGCUCUUCAGCUUCAGACACAGGAGGAGUCAUCCAGAGCACCCGAGAUAAAAGCCCUAGACGUGAUGAAUGUCACUGAGGAAAGGAAGACAGAUACUUCCGAAGCAGGUAUGUCAACAGAAGAAACAGACAAACAUGUGAUUCAAUCAUUGAUAAGCCUCACAGGAGAAAACAGUCACUCAAUCAGUGGAAAUCAAGAUGUAAUUGAUGAAGAAAUUCUGGACCUGUGGCUUGAAACAGUGACGCCUUCAAAGGAAUCAAUCUCCAUGGAGGUGUCUGAGGUGAAAACACACAAAGUAGCGCGGCCUCACCUUUUAGAGGGUAUUGAGGCAGUAUCUUACAUAGAAUCAAAAGUUCAACAACCUGAGGUGGACUUUUUGCAUCAAGAGAAAAGUUUAGCUCAAAGAAGAACAGAGGAGGAAUGGGCAAGAUCAGCUGAGACUUCAACAGAAUCCAUCUCUAAGGAAGUGUCUGAAGUGGAAACACCCAAAGAAGUGUGGCCUCACCUUUUAGAGGGUACUAAGGCAGUGUCAUACACAGAAUCAAAAGUUCAACAACCUGCGGUGGACUAUUUGCAUCAAGAGAAAAGUUUAGCUCAAAGAACAACAGAGGAGGAAUGGGCAAGAUCAGCUGAGACUUCAACAGAAUCCAUUUCUAAGGAAGUGUCUGAGGUGGAAACACCCAAAGAAGUGUGGUCUCACCUUUUAGAGGGUAUUGAAGCAGUAACUUACACAGAAUCAAAAGUUCAACAACCUGAGGUGGACUAUUUGCAUCAAGAGGAUCAUUUAGCCCAAAGAAGAACAGCAGAAUCAGCAGAGAAUGAACAUGGAUUUCAGAAACAUUUUGAUGCAGUUAGAAUGAACACAGAUAUUAUUUUGCCUGUAAAUACAGCCCCUUUAAUCCCAGUCGACAUGUUAAAAGUUAAAGAUGUUCAGGAGAACGUGUGCAGCUUUAUGGAAAAACCAAAACAUGCGGAAGCGGAACAAUCAAGGAACGUACGAAAGGAUUGUCUAGAAGAGCAAUACGACGUAGAACCAUGCACGGAGAAGUUGGCGUUUCAAACGUCUUCACAAAAAGAACAACAGCCAGAGCACUCAGAAGAUUUUCAGGAACUAAUGCCAACCGGGUUUGAGUUUGCAGACGUGAUAACUGUUGCUGAAGACACAGAUGAAAGGAAGCUAGAUGCUUCCGAGGCAAUUAUGUCAACAGAGGGAACAGACAAACAUGUGAUUCAAUCAUUGGGAAGCCUCACAGGAGAGAACAGUCACUCAAUCAGUGGAAGUCAAGAUGUAAUUGAUGAAGAAAUCCUGGACCUGUGGCUUGAAGCGGUGACGCCUGCAAUAGAAUCCAUCUCUGAGGAAGUGUCUGAGGUGGAAACACCCAAAGGAGCGGGGCCUCACCUUUUAGAUGGUAUUGAGGCAGGAUCUUACACAGAAUCCAAAGUUCGACCUCCUGGAGAGGACUAUUUGCAUCAAGAGAAUUUAGUCCAAAGAAGAACAGAGGAAGAAUGGGCAGAAUCAGCAGAAACUGAAAGUAGAUUUCAAGAACACUUUGAUGCAGGGAGAAUGAACACAGAUAUUAUGUUGCCUGUAAAUACCGCCCCUUUAAUCCCAGUCAACAUGUUAAAAGUUAAAGAUCUUCAGGAGAACUUGUGCAGCUUUUUGGAAAAACAAAAACACGCUGAAGCUGAAGAAUCAAGAGAUGGAACAAAGGAUCUGCAAGAGGAACGAUACAAUGAAGAACCGUGCACGGAGAAGUUGACGUUUCAAGCGUCAUCACAAAAAGAACAACAGCCAGAGCACUCAGAGGAACUAAUGAUGCCAACCAGGUUUGAGUUUGCAGAAGUGCCAACCACAAAGGGUAAAGGCCAGGACCAGGUCGAUUCCUAUUUGUUGGACCUUUCUCUGCAGAAGUGUAGAAUCACAGUUAAAAACCCUCGAGUGAGGCCACCAACGAAUCCUCGUACCUUGUUACACACACCCUCCAUGGCGCCCACUCCCUCUUCACAGGCUGUACCUUUAGGAGCAGUGAGUAUUGGGAUCAAACUGCCUGGGCUUGGAGCAAGCCUGCCAGUUUUAAAAAAGUCAGGAAAGGUGACGGGAAAGGAAAAAGGACAGAAAACAUUACAAAAAGAAGACAAAGAGACAAAACCAGAAGACAACAGUGAUUCUCCCAAACAGGAUGAAGCCCAACACAAACCUAGAUGGAUGCCUCCAAAGCAUCAGGGAUUUGGUAAUCCACUGAUGUUGGAGCUGAAGACCAAACUCAAAAGAACCGUAAAUGAGUGACAGGUUGUGUUUGUGACUGUAAAUAGCGACCGUGGCUCAGGUGGUAGUGGGUCGUCUUCUGAUAGAGAGGUUGGGGGUUCCAUCCCAGUACCUGACUAUGUGUCGAAGUGUCCUUGGGCAAGACACUGAACCCUAAGUUGCUCCCAGUGGUCGACUAGCGCCUUGCAUGGCAGUCCUGUCCCACUGGUGAGUGAAUGGGUGAAUGAGCUGAUAUGUAAAGCGCUUUGAGACUGCUUCAGUGUGGUGAUAAAGCGCUAUAUAAAAUCAAGUCCAUUUACCAUUUAUCAAAUACUGGUAAUAAAAAAGCAGUGGAUUUUUUUUUAUUUUUAUUU